rnacentral:lncRNA from 1 species
UCUCUUGAAUUAUUGGGUCUCUUUAGUUCUGACUUUAAAGGACUGACAGUAAAAUUUCUAAAACACCAAGAAAUCAUACUGCCAAACAUAGAGCCAAAAAUAUGAUUUAUACUCACAUUAUAAGAAUCCCCGAAUAGCCAAGGACUACUUUGUAACAAAACCACGGAUAAAGCUCUAAAGAAAUCCUUUUAAAGCUUGUUUUUGUUAAAAGUUAAUAUCUGAUGCACCCUUGUAUCUGAAUAGUUAAAACUAAGAGGAGAAAAAAAUGGGAGUUUCUUUUUCUUUUUUUUAAACGGAGAGGUUCUACUUUAGUAUAGUAGACCAAGCAGUGUAGACUGUCCUAUUAUGGUUAUCUGAAAACCCAGGCAUGCCAUUAAAUGGCUAUCUGAUCAGAAGAACUAGGAAAAUCAGAAGUGAAGAAUUGCCAAGCAGCAACUGGUAAGGAACAAAGGAGAGGCCAAGGAGAGGUUGGUAGCUCUGGUAUUUCCCAAGAGAAUACAUGGCAUUUCAGCAGGCUUUGUUUCAAUUGUCCAAUUCUGCUGCAAAUUCUUUUACAUAUGUGUCUUUUUCUAUCAUAAAUAUUAAUUAACAUUUUACUACUUAAAUCAGCAGGUGACACCUAACUUAUGUGUUUCUCUUUUGGCUUUGUGCUUAAUUAAGAACGCAAAUAAAUGUGUGAAUGCUGAACUCAUUUUCAACUUGAAAGGUCGUCCUGAUGUGGGGGUUAAAAACAAAUCCCUUCAAAAAUAAAAGUGCUUAGUAAGAAGUAAUUCACAUAGUAGGGAUGGAAAAAUAAUUACUUUAGCUGGGAUUGUUUCUAUUUAGAAUAAUCAUUUGGAAAUAAAAGUGCAUUUCUAGCGCUAAAAAAAACCCUGUAGUAUGUUCUUUUUAAUUGUGUGUAUAUUCCUGUAUGUGCGUAUGUGCAUGGGGCACUGUGCUUUCAGAGACUAGAAGAGAGAGUCAGAUUCCUCUCGGAACUGGAAUCAGAGGUAAGCUGCCCAGUGCGGGUGCUGGAAACAAGACUCUGGUCUUUUGCAAAGCUCUUAACCACUGAGCCAUCUCUUUGAUCCCCUUACUCCCAGUUAUAGUCUCCCCAAAUUUUAAUUACAUUUCCGUAGAGACUUGUGAGACUCGAUUCUGUUCUUGUGACACCCUGGUGGAUCUUGAUUCUGUUGAAGGACUCAAGAGAGGCAAGGCUUGUUGCUCUUGUUUCUAACAGCUGAUCUAGGAGGCUAAGUAGCACACUCCAGGUGUGGUCUAUUGUCUGUAGAGCUAACUGGAUUCAUUGUUACUCCCUCAAAUCAUGACCACACAGCUUGAUAAAGAAUACAGUUAGUUCUCAUUCCAGCGGGAGUCUUCAAACAUCAGGGUAGAUAGGCUGUUUCUCUUCUCAUGAUCGAGAUCAAAUCAAGAGAAACUGGGGUCUGCUUAAUGCGAUCUUCUGUUAGUUCUCGGGGAUCAGAGCUCUCAGCUCAGCUCACCAGGUUGAUUGGCAGCUUUAUGUCAGGGGAGUUCCAGUGAGUGACCCAUUUGGGCCACUGGAGUCUCUCAUGUGAAACCAAGUGUUGGCCUGGAAUCUCUGGAACUCAGACAGUGGCCGAAUGGGUUUUAAUCAUUAUUGGAAAUGGGAGGAAACUGUCGAGCAGAGCGACUUCAAAGCCUUCAUCUCUGUUGGAGGCGAGCAAGAAUGUGUAACCCCAUGCAUUAUUACCAGAAGGAAUCACUUUUGUGGAGAGGACCCCUUUCUCAACGAGGUGGAAACAGCCCCUCAAGAAAAAAUGUUUAUUUAGGUAAUUCAAGCCUGUUCGUAAGACUUUGGAGCUGCUAUUUAGAGUUGGGCAAUGGUUAAUUUCGUGACAAAUUAUUAACUUGAGACGACGGUUAAAGUUAUACCUCCUAGGUGGUGUUCAGCAUUGCAGUCUCUUCUGGCUGAACGGAGCCUUGCCUGUGUCUGAUGUCUCGGUGGGAUGGGUGGGGGCGUGCAAUCAGAAAGUGAUACUUUUUUUUUUUUCUUGCAGUAUUUCAGAAAAUCUGAAAUCCCAUUGCUAGAUAUAAAAACAAACACAGCAGGUCAUUUUAGUCGUGCAGUGAAGCAUUUUGUGCAAAGGAAAAUGUGUGCUCGAUUAGAUUGAAAGAUUUGAUGGUUCAUAAAGCCACCCAGUAUAACGUCGCCACCUGACUAAUGGAAGGGUAGGGAAGUGAACUUUGACCAAGAAAUGUUACAAGACACUGAGACACAGACGGCAGAAUCUUAACCUCUCUAGUGAUGAAUUCCCCCCUUUAGAGUAAGAAGGCUGGGCUGGUGGGGUGACUCUAUGGGUAAAAUUGCUUGAGUUCAAUCCCCAAGACCUGAGUUCAAUCCCCAGUUCCACAUGUGGAAGGAGAGAGCCAGUUCUUCUAAGUCGUCCUCAGACAUCCACACGUGUGCUACUCUGCCCCCAAGACCGCCAUAACUGCAAACCGAGAGGGAAUACGAUAGAUAACUUAAUUAAGGCAGGCAGGCACCUUGGGAAUUUUGUAUUAAAUCACUUUCCUUCUUGCUUAAGACUUUUUAAUGUCUUAAAACUACAUCGAUAUAUUAUGUCAAUAUUAUUUGCUGCCAAAUCAAAGAGUGUGCCUGAAGAUAUUAC